GACGAACGCUGGCGGCGUGCUUAACACAUGCAAGUCGAACGGAAAGGCCCUGCUUUUGUGGGGUGCUCGCGUGGCGAACGGGUGAGUAACACGUGAGUAACCUGCCCUUGACUUUGGGAUAACUUCAGGAAACUGGGGCUAAUACCGGAUAGGAGCUCCUGCUGCAUGGUGGGGGUUGGAACGUUUCGGCGGUUGGGGAUGGACUCGCGGCUUAUCAGCUUGUUGGUGGGGUAGUGGCUUACCAAGGCUUUGACGGGUAGCCGGCCUGAGAGGGUGACCGGCCUCAUUGGGACUGAGAUACGGCCCAGACUCCUACGGGAGGCAGCAGUGGGGAAUAUUGCACAAUGGGCGGAAGCCUGAUGCAGCAACGCCGCGUGCGGGAUGACGGCCGUCGGGUUGUAAACCGCUUUCGCCUGUGACGAAGCGUGAGUGACGGUAAUGGGUAAAGAAGCACCGGCUAACUACGUG
rnacentral:rRNA from 1 species